UUAAAGCUUAGAAAUUACUCGAUAAACGGAACUUACAAGAUUGGCCGGAGGUCAAGUUGAUGCAGCCCCGCCAACCCGUACGAACUCGUAAAAAGAAGAGAAGUAUUGGCGAAGUCGCCUGCUUGAAAGUAAGUACGAGGAAAAAAGUAACUUGUUGUAUUGAGUUGAUUGUGAUUACAGAUCCAUAAGGGUGGCUAUUUAUAGCCCCGUACAAACGACUUCCUAUCCGACUAGAACUUAUCCCUAAGUUUAAACGGAAAACGAAUAUUUAUAAGUACGAUUCGUACUAUUUUCACGCGCUUCAUGGGCUGACUCCUUUUUCAUCUUCAUAAUCUUUUUUCAGCC
rnacentral:lncRNA from 1 species